rnacentral:lncRNA from 1 species
ACGCCAGUUUUUUUUAUGAAAUUUAUUUUUAUUUAAAUUGAUGGUCGGGAACAUAUACCACGCCAAUUUAUUUGUCAUGAAACUUGAAUUUUUAAUUGGAUAUACUAGAUUGCCGCCAAAAUAUGGAAAUGCUAAAAAGACAUUUCCUACUGGUUAUCUCUUUUCUCUUCCGUGCAGUUAUAACUUAUAAAUGGUCGUAUUUUUCUACUCCCUCCGUCCAACAAAAGUCUCCUGAGAUGUUCAGAAGCUCCAGAAUAAUUUUCUUUUGAUGGAUGUUGAGGCCAUCCGUAAUAUUCCAAUAAGCACAGUUAGCUAUGGAGACUACUGGGCGUGGCAUUUCGAAAAAAUGGGAUGCUUG